rnacentral:tRNA from 1 species
GGGGGUGUAGUUUAGCUGGUAAAACGAUCGCCUUGCAAGCGGUUAUCACGAGUUCAAGUCUCGUCACCUCCA